UACGGGGGGUGCAAGCGUUGUCCGGAUUUAUUGGGCGUAAAGGGCUCGUAGGCGGGAUGGUAAGUCUGGCGUGAAAUCUCCCGGCUCAACCGGGAAGCUGCGCUGGAAACUGCCGUUCUUGAAUUGCGGAGAGGAAGUUGGAAUUCCUGGUGUAGCGGUGGAAUGCGUAGAUAUCAGGAAGAACACCGAUAGCGAAGGCAAACUUCUGGCCGCGGAUUGACGCUGAGGAGCGACAGCGUGGGGAGCGAACAGGAUUAGAUACCCUGGUAGUCCACGCCGUAAACGAUGGAUACUAGGUGCUGGGCUUACUUUGGUCGGCUCAGUGCCGCAGCUAACGUGUUUAGUAUCCCGCCUGGGGAGUACGGUCGCAAGGCUG
rnacentral:rRNA from 1 species